GUACUACUCCCUCCGUCCGAAAAUACUUGUCAUUAAAAUGGAUAAAAAGGGAUGUAUCUAGAAGUAAAAUACGUCUAGAUGCAUCCCUUUUUAUUCAUUUUGAUGACAAGUAUUUCUGGACGGAGGGAAUAAUAU
rnacentral:pre_miRNA from 1 species